UCACUCUUUCCUUUUCACGUCUUUCUUCCUCUCCUCUGACCCAGAACUUCAAGCUUCCUCUCCUCUUACCCAGAACUUCAAGCUUCCUCUCUUCAAGUUUCUUUUCUCUUCUUGAAUAUUAGGAAUAUGGAUAAAAAAAUUUCAGAUUCAUCUUCAAAUGCUGCAGAUGAGGAAUUUUGGAAUCUUGCCAAUUCAUCAUCAGACGAAGAAUUGAUGAAUAUGUAGAUUAUUGCUCUACAAGAGAAUGGAAGAACCUUUCUCCAUGGAUUUGAAGACUGGCAAUGGAUUUGAAGCCAUAUCUCAUCAGUUUGGUCCGGUCAGUUCUCACCUCGUUGAGCAAUUUCUUGUAUAUAUUGAUUGUGAUUAGUGAUCUUAACAUGUGGGUGUUAUGAUUUGGAGUAAUGGGUGUUGUAGAAGGUCAAUUUUGUUUACUGGAUUUGAAUUUUUUGAAUGCCAUAAUGCCCUGUUCAGCUGUUGGGUUUGUACCUUAACUGCAAUGUACUAGCUUUAAUGGGUUUUGUUUUGUUGUUGCAUUAGAUAAUUGCUAUUCUUUGGUUCCAUUUUUCGGAGUUGAGACCUGUGCAUUAAUAUGGUUCUGUAAUGUGCUUAGGGAAACUUAAAAGCUCUGAACUUGCUAAAACAAUCAAGUAGGCAACUUUUAAGUGCUGAGAGGUGUAUUCAGUUGAAUUCCCAACCUGAUGUAUGUGCCUAAUUGCAAUGAUCUAGCUUGCAUGGGUUUGUUUUCUUUUUAUAUGGAUGAUUGCUAGCCUUUUGUUCAAUUUUGAGUUGACAUGUGUACAAAUGCCAUUAGUUGUUUAGGGGAAACCUACACUAUCUUAAGUGCUAAAAGACAUGUCUUCUGGUAUGCGAUUUGAUAUUGUUGUUCAAGUAAACAACUUUAAGCUCUGAGAGUUGUGAUUUGAAUUCCCAGCCUGAUGUGGUAGUAAACUGUGCUGCACUUUCGGUUCCUCGUGCCUGUACAAUGGAUCCUGCUGCAGCUAUGUCAGUUAAUGUGCCAUCUUCUCUUGUUAAUUGAUUAUCGAGCAUAGAAGAGAGUAAUUAUCUUCUGAUCCAUUUGUCAACUGAUCAAGGUAAGUUGUUUCAUAUACUGUAAUUUGUUCAUAUUCCUAGUUCAGUUACUCUGUAAAGAUGGAUCAAUAAAAGCAAACAGGAGAAACUGGUAAGAACUACAAUGGCACAUAGUUGCUUACCAACGAGAGCCUAUCAUUUUUUAAGCUCCUUGGAGGGGAGUUGGAAUAAGGGUUGGGAUUAGGAUAGUUGAAUGUUCUUAGGGUAAAUAAAUAAAAUAAAGUUUUGGCUUUUGUCGAUUAAAAAACCCUUGUUCUUUAUGUUCCAAAAAUGUAAAUAAAUAAAAUAAGGUUUUGGCUUUUGUCGAUUGAAGAAUCUUGGCUUACUAUAACAACCAUGAUUGCACUAUAUUGGUUAUUCCAGCCAUUGUGUGGAAUGUGUGUCUUCUAUGAUAUAGUUUGCAUUACCCUCUCUUAGUGUAUUGUAUCUUACUCCAGAGAAGAACAACAGCUAAGGUACUAACAAAUAACUUAGGUGAGAAACUGAGUUGCAUUACCCUCUCUUAGUGUAUUGUAUCUUACUCCAGAGAAGAACAACAGCUAAGGUACUAACAAAUAACUUAGGUGAGAAACUGAGUUGCAUUACCCUCUCUUUGUAGGGCUUCUCUUCCCAAAGAUUACGGCAGGAAUUAUGCAGAUGAGUUAAAUGCAUGUUUCUCUUUUGAUUUUUUAGAUUUUGUUUUGUGACUCUGUUGUGCAGACUGAUAAAUGCAUAUGCGUUAAUAAAUGUAGAUGCAUUAAAGCAUGUUUCUAAGGAGCUAUGUCAAUCUCCCAUGGCCUCCCUCUUGCCGUAUAACGUUAAGAACAGCAAUAAUCACUACAACUUGAUUGGAUUGUAUUUCUGAACAAUUCUCUCAGUCUUUUCAUAUCUCUCAACUAAAGCAAAUUCAAGAAUCUUCCUUGUUCAAAGGAUAAAUAUAAGAUGGGGAAGAUUGUUGCGGGAAUUCUUGGUAGAAUAGAAAUGUGCAGCAUUAGUCUGUAUGGGAGAUUGCAAAGCCUUCUAGAUCUUUUAGUUUGUAUCAGUUCGUUUGGUUUCCAGUGAAAUAGAUAUGUUUUCACCUGUUUAGGUUUCCUGCUAUGUAUUCCUUCAUCUCAAAUUCUCAU